GUCUACUGUGGAGAGUGCGCGCCUGUCAUGUGUGCACUUCGCCAGGGAUUAAACAGCUGGCUUGAACCCCCCCCCCCCCCCCCACAUCAACACAACAGAUGAGAAGCUUGAGCCGUCCCUCAAAGCAGAAAGAGAACAGGGGCGCUUGUUCCAGAGAAGUAUAUUACGCAAGACCUGUUGUUCACGUGAUUCACUUUGAUUUUUCGGUGGAAUCAAGUGGAAGCACCAAUUUUCCCCGGUAAGCCCAAGCAGUCACCAUGACAGGUCACCAGGUGGCGCUAGUGUGCACUGCGCCGUUGAAAUAGCAGCAGCAAAAGGAAGGAAAGUGAUUUUGCAUCCGGACGCAGCAGCUCCAUGCUGGUGAUCGCCGCCUCUUCCAGCACUUCAACGCCAGAAGUUGUAGAUGGAGACUGGAGGCUACCCACGACCUAGCCCAACAGUCAGGCGGCGGGUACGACGGCUCUGCUGUAGAGCCAAAAACAAAAACCAGCAUGUCAUGUUUGGGCCACAUGGCAAAAGCCUGACACUGAUUGGCAUUUGUCCACUUUCCUUCCCGGACUGUUUUGGGACCCAGCACACUCAUCAUCCACCAUGCACACACUACAACACAGAGAGAGAGAGA